rnacentral:rRNA from 1 species
UACAGAGGUCUCAAGCGUUUGUUCGGAUUCAUUGGGCGUAAAGGGUGCGUAGGUGGCGCCGUAAGUCAGGUGUGAAAUCUCGGGGCUCAACCCCGAAACUGCACUUGAUACUGCGGUGCUCGAGUACUGGAGAGGAGAUUGGAAUUUACGGUGUAGCAGUGAAAUGCGUAGAUAUCAAGAGGAACACCUGAGGUGAAGACGGGUUGCUGGGCUGACACUGACGCUGGAGGCGCGAAAGCUAGGGUAGCAAACGGG